GAGUGAACGCUGGCGGUAGGCCUACCCCAUGCAAGUCGAACGGCAGCACAGUAAGAGCUUGCUCUUACGGGUGGCGAGUGGCGGACGGGUGAGGAAUACAUCGGAAUCUACUUUUUCGUGGGGGAUAACGUAGGGAAACUUACGCUAAUACCGCAUACGACCUACGGGUGAAAGCAGGGGAUCUUCGGACCUUGCGCGAUUGAAUGAGCCGAUGUCGGAUUAGCUAGUUGGCGGGGUAAAGGCCCACCAAGGCGACGAUCCGUAGCUGGUCUGAGAGGAUGAUGCGCCACACUGGAACGGAGAAACGGCCCAAACUCCUAGGGGGGGCAGCGGUGGGAAAUUUUGGAAAAUGGGCGCAAGCCUGACCCGGCCAUCCCGGGGGGGUGAAGAAGGCCUUCGGGUUGGAAAGCCCUUUUGUUGGGAAAAAAAAGCAGCAGGUUAAAACCCCGCUGUUCUGACGGUACCAAAAGAAAAAGCACCGGCUAACUGCGU
rnacentral:rRNA from 1 species